UACGGAGGGGGCUAGCGUUGUUCGGAAUUACUGGGCGUAAAGCGCACGUAGGCGGCUUUGUAAGUUAGAGGUGAAAGCCCAGGGCUCAACCCUGGAAUUGCCUUUAAGACUGCAUCGCUUGAACAUCGGAGAGGUAAGUGGAAUUCCGAGUGUAGAGGUGAAAUUCGUAGAUAUUCGGAAGAACACCAGUGGCGAAGGCGACUUACUGGACGAUUGUUGACGCUGAGGUGCGAAAGCUAGGGGAGCAAACAGG
rnacentral:rRNA from 1 species